GUCAAGCCAUGGAGCCUCGGAGAGCCGAGGAUCAAAACCGAGAAGCCAAGUCGGCUUCUAGGGCCACGUUAAGAGAGGGGGCUGCUCUGUUAAGCACAGAGACCAAACGUCUUGCACCUUUUAACAGGCUCGGGGCAGGAAGCAGGAGCCGGAAUCUGGGCCGGGAGACGAAGGGAUGGUCUAGGACCUGCUCCUGGAUGGUGGAUGCGUGAGAUCCAGGUUAGACUUCGUUCCUAACGUCAAGGCUCCCAGGCUCCACUUCCGGUUCCGAGGGGGCCGUCCCGUCACCCCCGGAAGUUCCUCCUCCACGCUUUAGGGCCGGGCCACUUCUUCUGCCACGUCUGCAUUUCGGGGACCCGGAUGCCGCGCAUGCGCCUCUUUCAUCUUCCCAUCAUGGCCGCCGCCUGUGCGCCUCUGCUGAGUCGUAUGUAUUUCCCUCCUGACAUUUUUUUUCAGAUGUUCCAGUCACUUUAUGGCCUCACCAACAGAAAUGAGAUUAAAAAGAAUUUGUCAAACUAUCUUUAAUAAUGCCCCUUCACUCUGCCUGUGACGUAUUAGUGACCUCUGAGCUAGAGUCUUGUAGUCACUUCCUGGUGACCCCUGACCCCGUUGAUUUCCGUCCGCUAGGUUGCUCUCACCCAUGGCGUUUGCUGGUUAUGAGAUUUGCGGAACGUGUGGUGGUGGUAAAGGGCACCAACUGUUGUCAACCUGCAUGUGGGGGUCUGAGGUCUGGCUCUACAGCUUGUAAAAUGGAAAUAAUAAUGCCCAGAGGAUGAAAUUAGGCCACAUAGGCCGCUUGGCAUCAUAGUAAGCACUCAGUAAAGGUCAAUUGUUAUUAACCAUUUUUAUACAGCGCCUUUGUUUAGGUGCAGAGCUUUAUCAGAGCCAAAAGAUCUCUGCGCUCUGUUGGAAAAGAUAGUUCCUGCAGUAAUUAUUAGUACCCCAUUUAAUGGCUAAGUAAUUAUAGCUAACAGUGCUAGGAUUUCUUUUUCAUAUAUGACUUCAUUUGAACUUUUCAGUACUAUUUGUUGAUUUCAUAAUUUUUCGAGCACUGCUGUUGAAACUGCCUUUGCAAAAUUACAACUGAGGAAAUUAUGAUAGUGGAAGAAAUCAGACUUAACCGACUCCAUCUUGCUUCUAACCUUUAAGCUGUCCUUAUUCAUUCCUGGGUGUAGGUGGAACUAACUUUGGGGAGGAAUUCAGUUUAUGGUUUGAAACAAAAUUGAUAAUAGCCCCUUCCCGAAAAGACCCCCUUCUUGCCUGGGGACCAGUCUGUCUUUACAGGACUAACAAAUUAGCUACAAGAUUACAAAUUACAGUUUAGGGGACAUGCAGCCUCUCGCUCCAAGAGUCUGAACCUCCCCAAAUUGCUUUUAGGAAUAACAUAACUAUUGUAAAACCUAAGAUUAGUGCUUGAGAUGUUUUGCAGACCCUGCACUCAUUGGAUCAGCUGACUACCUAGACCAGUAACCUGGCUCAAUCAGUUCUGCCAUUCCACCCAGGAACAGAAAACAGCAAGAAAACCUCACUUUGACUCCCUGUGAUUCCGUCUUCAACCUGACCAAUCAGCACUCCCCGCUUCCCAAGCUCCUACUCGCCAAAUUAUCUUUAAGAACUCUGAUCCUCAAAUGCUCAGGGAGACUAAU
rnacentral:lncRNA from 1 species